rnacentral:rRNA from 1 species
UGUGAGCUCGAUGAGUAGGGCGGGACACGUGGUAUCCUGUCUGAAUAUGGGGGGACCAUCCUCCAAGGCUAAAUACUCCUGACUGACCGAUAGUGAACCAGUACCGUGAGGGAAAGGCGAAAAGAACCCCGGCGAGGGGAGUGAAAAAGAACCUGAAACCGUGUACGUACAAGCAGUGGGAGCACGCUUAGGCGUGUGACUGCGUACCUUUUGUAUAAUGGGUCAGCGACUUAUAUUCUGUAGCAAGGUUAACCGAAUAGGGGAGCCGAAGGGAAACCGAGUCUUAACUGGGCGUUAAGUUGCAGGGUAUAGACCCGAAACCCGGUGAUCUAGCCAUGGGCAGGUUGAAGGUUGGGUAACACUAACUGGAGGACCGAACCGACUAAUGUUGAAAAAUUAGCGGAUGACUUGUGGCUGGGGGUGAAAGGCCAAUCAAACCGGGAGAUAGCUGGUUCUCCCCGAAAGCUAUUUAGGUAGCGCCUCGUGAAUUCAUCUCCGGGGGUAGAGCACUGUUUCGGCAAGGGGGUCAUCCCGACUUACCAACCCGAUGCAAACUGCGAAUACCGGAGAAUGUUAUCACGGGAGACACACGGCGGGUGCUAACGUCCGUCGUGAAGAGGGAAACAACCCAGACCGCCAGCUAAGGUCCCAAAGUCAUGGUUAAGUGGGAAACGAUGUGGGAAGGCCCAGACAGCCAGGAUGUUGGCUUAGAAGCAGCCAUCAUUUAAAGAAAGCGUAAUAGCUCACUGGUCGAGUCGGCCUGCGCGGAAGAUGUAACGGGGCUAAACCAUGCACCGAAGCUGCGGCAGCGACACUAUGUGUUGUUGGGUAGGGGAGCGUUCUGUAAGCCUGUGAAGGUGUGCUGUGAGGCAUGCUGGAGGUAUCAGAAGUGCGAAUGCUGACAUAAGUAACGAUAAAGCGGGUGAAAAGCCCGCUCGCCGGAAGACCAAGGGUUCCUGUCCAACGUUAAUCGGGGCAGGGUGAGUCGACCCCUAAGGCGAGGCCGAAAGGCGUAGUCGAUGGGAAACAGGUUAAUAUUCCUGUACUUGGUGUUACUGCGAAGGGGGGACGGAGAAGGCUAUGUUGGCCGGGCGACGGUUGUCCCGGUUUAAGCGUGUAGGCUGGUUUUCCAGGCAAAUCCGGAAAAUCAAGGCUGAGGCGUGAUGACGAGGCACUACGGUGCUGAAGCAACAAAUGCCCUGCUUCCAGGAAAAGCCUCUAAGCAUCAGGUAACAUCAAAUCGUACCCCAAACCGACACAGGUGGUCAGGUAGAGAAUACCAAGGCGCUUGAGAGAACUCGGGUGAAGGAACUAGGCAAAAUGGUGCCGUAACUUCGGGAGAAGGCACGCUGAUAUGUAGGUGAAGUCCCUUGCGGAUGGAGCUGAAAUCAGUCGAAGAUACCAGCUGGCUGCAACUGUUUAUUAAAAACACAGCACUGUGCAAACACGAAAGUGGACGUAUACGGUGUGACGCCUGCCCGGUGCCGGAAGGUUAAUUGAUGGGGUCAGCGCAAGCGAAGCUCUUGAUCGAAGCCCCGGUAAACGGCGGCCGUAACUAUAACGGUCCUAAGGUAGCGAAAUUCCUUGUCGGGUAAGUUCCGACCUGCACGAAUGGCGUAAUGAUGGCCAGGCUGUCUCCACCCGAGACUCAGUGAAAUUGAACUCGCUGUGAAGAUGCAGUGUACCCGCGGCAAGACGGAAAGACCCCGUGAACCUUUACUAUAGCUUGACACUGAACAUUGAGCCUUGAUGUGUAGGAUAGGUGGGAGGCUUGGAAGUGUGGACGCCAGUCUGCAUGGAGCCGACCUUGAAAUACCACCCUUUAAUGUUUGAUGUUCUAACGUUGACCCGUAAUCCGGGUUGCGGACAGUGUCUGGUGGGUAGUUUGACUGGGGCGGUCUCCUCCUAAAGAGUAACGGAGGAGCACGAAGGUUGGCUAAUCCUGGUCGGACAUCAGGAGGUUAGUGCAAUGGCAUAAGCCAGCUUGACUGCGAGCGUGACGGCGCGAGCAGGUGCGAAAGCAGGUCAUAGUGAUCCGGUGGUUCUGAAUGGAAGGGCCAUCGCUCAACGGAUAAAAGGUACUCCGGGGAUAACAGGCUGAUACCGCCCAAGAGUUCAUAUCGACGGCGGUGUUUGGCACCUCGAUGUCGGCUCAUCACAUCCUGGGGCUGAAGUAGGUCCCAAGGGUAUGGCUGUUCGCCAUUUAAAGUGGUACGCGAGCUGGGUUUAGAACGUCGUGAGACAGUUCGGUCCCUAUCUGCCGUGGGCGCUGGAGAACUGAGGGGGGCUGCUCCUAGUACGAGAGGACCGGAGUGGACGCAUCACUGGUGUUCGGGUUGUCAUGCCAAUGGCACUGCCCGGUAGCUAAAUGCGGAAGAGAUAAGUGCUGAAAGCAUCUAAGCACGAAACUUGCCCCGAGAUGAGUUCUCCCUGAC